GUGAGCUGUGCUGCGACAUCAUGGACAUAUGGUAUUGGACGGGACAUGCUGCAAGAUUUCUUUGAUCUUUCAUAUUGACGGGUCUAGAGAAAGAGAAGGUAACGUUCGGGCAAAAAGAAUCCCGUCGCAAUUGGACGAAAUGGUCGCGUUGGAGCGGAAACGGAGAACACAUCGAAGUCGGCUCGAUUACAGGCGGUAGGAAGCGAAUGCUCGACAGGAAAGCAUUCGUUACAAAAGCCGUAUACGUUAAGUGGCAGGGGAAGCUAUGAUAAGAGCCAUUGCGUGCUUGUUCGAGCAGGAAAACGACGGCCAACUACGCGCGAGCGAUCAGGGACGUCGUGUGCGAGCCUGCAUUAUACAAAUGCAGGUAACAUUGUACAAAGCUUCGUGUGCACUGCACUUGAUUCUGUCUCGAAUGAGGACAUCGUGUGAGGACAUCAAAGGAAGUGUGACGAGAGGAAUAAAUUCGCAAGAUUAUCAACGAGCGUCCAUCGUCGGAGAUCCAAAGGAACACGCUAAUACGCGAGUUACUAACGCGUUGUUAUCGCGACGGCUGUCAGAUGACGCACAGUUGGGAAAGUUGUUUGCGACGAUCAGCUGCGGAUAUUUUCCCGCGGUCGUCGCGCCUGGCACAAAGUCCACCGACCAAGAAAUUCGCUCCCUCCUGAACAUUUCUCAGUCGCGUCGCGUUAAAUCGCCCGUUCUCGAAAGACCCCGGCGAGUAUCGAUGUGUAACGAACGUAACGCGCUCUUAUUCAACCGCGCUUCCAAUUAUGCGCUGGCUAAUUUUAGCGGACUCUGAUUUUAGCUUGAUAAUUAAACGAAGAAAGAGAAAGAGAGAAGAGGCGGCUUUUGCAAAAAAUCUUCGCUCAGAGGAAAACCCGAGGACAGAUUUAACAGACGGUUAAAAGAGGCGCGGUACUGAUAUUUCGUGACGACCCGGUACAGGUAUCAUUUUAGAAUGAAAAAUGACCCCGACUACGUGUGGGAGCGAGAGAAGCCUUCAGAUUUAAUUUCAACGUCGCGCGCGCUUACAUAUACAUAUAUAUGUAUAUAUAUAUCGACAUUGUCGGAUUUCUUUAAUACAAUCACUGAGAGAAAAAAAAAAUACCUAAGAGACAAAAAAUAUU